rnacentral:ribozyme from 1 species
UCACAAAUUCAAGGCCAUAGCAGAAGCGUUCAUGGCAUAGCCUGGCAGAUUCCAACAAAUCUGAGAAUCCUGCU